rnacentral:SRP_RNA from 1 species
GCUGGGUGUGGUGGCGGGCACCUGUAAUUCCAGCUACUUGGGAGGCUGAGGCAGGAGAAUCGCUUGAACCUGGGGGAUGGAGGUUACAGUGAACCAAGAUCAUGCCACUGCACUCCAGCCUAGGUGACAAAGCGAGACUCUGUCUCAA